ACUCAAAGGAAUUGACGGGGACCCGCACAAGCAGUGGAGCAUGUGGUUCAAUUCGACGCAACGCGAAGAACCUUAUCCUGGUCUUGACAUCCUUUGACCGCCGGCGAAAGUCGGUUUUCCCUUCGGGGACAGAGAGACAGGUGCUGCAUGGCUGUCGUCAGCUCGUGUCGUGAGAUGUUGGGUUAAGUCCCGUAACGAGCGCAACCCACGCCUCUUGUUGCCAUCAUUAAGUUGGGCACUCUAGAGGGACUGCUAGCGUUAAGCUGGAGGAAGGUGUGGAUGACGUCAAGUCCUCAUGGCCCUUAUGACCAGGGCUACACACGUGCUACAAUGCAGAGUACAAAGGGCUGCGAAACCGUGAGGUGGAGCCAAUCCCAAAAAACUCUGCUCAGUUCGGAUUGUAGUCUGCAACUCGACUACAUGAAGCUGGAAUUGCUAGUAAUCGCAGAUCAGCAUGCUGUGGUGAAUACGUUCCCGGGUCUUGUACACACCGCCCGU
rnacentral:rRNA from 1 species